ensembl:lncRNA
GAAGCAGUCAGCAGCCAUGUGAGUUACACUGUGGAGGUCUCCUGCCUCUGUCGGAGAAGCCCUCGGUGCGCGUUUAGGAACUGCAGCCAGCUGGCCUUUCCCUCUUUAUUCAAAAGUCGGAUUCCUCCUUACUGCUCGGCAGACCCCCCAGAGUGCCAGCUGUGCAGCGCCCAAGGGUGCUGAGGGCAGGGGAAGGCAGCUCUGGCAGCUCACGAGGGCAUCCAUGCGCACCCCUGCCAUCUGCGGAGCUGAAGUUUAAGGCAUCCUGUGGGCCCCUACCACACCUGCCUUUGGUGACAGAAGGGCAGGCGUAUGCUCAGUCCUUAUCCUGAAGCCUUCCAGCUGGCUACUUCAUCAUCCGUACGAGUCCACAGGACUGCGGGGACAACAGCUCCCGGGGCCUAAAGACUCAGUCAGUCAAGUGCGGUGGCAAGUGCUUGUGGCCAAGAACAUGGUGUACAGUUCAGAGAGCCUCUCAACACGUUGCUUUUAAGUUGAAGACGGGGCCAGCCCAGGGUAUCAGCAACCUCGGCCCCUGCUCCGUGCACCAUUGCAGGCUGGAGCUAUGGUCUUUCCCCAGAACCACCUGGGCUUCUCACACAUAGAAACAGGGUGACCUCCUAGAUGGGUAGACACGCUGCCCUCCAGCUGAGGGUUGGGGUGAUGAGAUGGGCUGAACUCUGUUCCCCCAAAUUUGUAUGUUGAAGUUGAACCCAGGACCUCAGAACGUGAGUGUAGUUGGAGACAGGGUGAUUAAAGAGGUGAGUAAGGUAAAAUAAGGUCAUUAUGGUGGGCCCUGAUUCAAUAGGACUGCUGUCCUGGGAAGAAGAGAUUAGAUACACACAGAGGGACCACCAUGUGAGCGUGCAGGGAGCAGAUGCCAUCGGCAAGGCGAGGAGAGGCCUCAGAAGGAACCAGCCCUGCCGACAGCCCCGUCUUGGACAUCCAGCCUCCAGAGAUGUGAGAUGAUACAGCUCUGCUGUUUAAGUUGCCAGGUCUGUGGCACAUUAUUACUGCGGCCUCAGCUGACCCACACAGAUGGUCUCUCGGUGAAACUGCCUCCCCGUCUGCCUUCUGUGCGUGCUGGCAGGCCCAGCACAGCUGUCCAGGGAUGCCGCCGGAAGCAGCCGCAGGCCCCUACAGGACCAUCCUCCAGUCCCUAUCCUGCCCUUUCCUUGACAUCCCACCUUCUCCAGCGGUGCUGAUUGGAGCAGCGUCAGAAUCCUCUGGAGCGCUCUGCUGCCCCCACGCCCCAAUUUUCUUAUGUAAUGGCUUUGUCUGGGGCUGGUACUUGUUUUGUCAACAGGAUCCCAGGGGAUGUUGAUGGUGCUGGUCUGGGGACCACGCUUUUGACAACCACUGCUUACAGCAGGACAAAUCAUGUGCAAAUAACACAACAGGCCUCUGCAUUCAUUUCCUAGGGCUGCUGUAACAGAACAUGCCAGUCUGGGUGGUUUAAAGCAACAGAAAUGUUUUCUUUUCCAGUUCUGGGAGGCAAAUACCAGAAAUCGAGGUGUGCGUAGGGUGAAGUUCCCUUUAUCUACAACAGAGCAACGGGGAAUCCAGCCCACGUGUGCAGUUCAGCCUGGGGCAGGGUGGGGCCUGCAAGAAAGCCGAUUCUCCCCGCCAGGCAACUCUCUGGCCAGGCCCUACGGCCACUCACAUCCAAGCUGUGUCCACACUCUUGGACACAGCUGCCUCCUGACCACCCAAGGAGCAUACAACUGUGCAAGAUGUGUCUGAACCGGAAAGGCCUGAGCAGGCCACGGAAGUGGCCAGAGCAUUUGUGCAGAGAACAGGGGGGUCCUUUCCUGGAAGGGAGGGGUGUGGGCUCCCGGUGGGGCCUUCUGAAGCAUGGGACCCCGGUAGAAGCUGCUCCUGCUCCUGUUUAGGGAAAAUGAGAAGCAGCACUCUCCCCCAUCUCCACUUGCCAGGCUUCCAGGCCAUGAUUCCCUUGCUUCUACCCAUGGUGUGGGAGCUCAAGCUCACCGUGGGAGCUUGUUGGAGCUCAGGUCAGGGUCCUGUCCACAGAGAGUCUGCUUUGGAGGGUGUGGCCUGGGCGGGGGCAGCGUCACGUGGCAAGCGGCCCUGGUGAUGCCUGUGGUCAGCGAGCCACCUUGGAGAAGCAGUGGUGUAGGCCCCCCGGGAAGUUCUGGUGGUGAGAGUCACCUGGGAGCUCUGACUUCACCUCACUGCACUGGGAGUCAGAGAUGUGCUCAAAAACACGGCUUCCUGGGAAGGUUUCGAAGCUCAUAAUCAUUCACACGUUGGUGUGAA